CGGAAGAGCCAGAGGGCUUCGCGGAGUACUGUGGGUAUUCUUGGAAGAUUUUACGUCAGUUGCGGAGAUGGAUGCGUUUUGCGGUCGGUAGCAGAAAAACAAAGUACGGAAAGGGAGUAGAGUUCUCGCGCCACCUGAGCCAGAACUAGAGAUGAGAAGAUUGAGGGUCAGAGAGAAGUAAUUUGAUACGGGUCACGCUGCUGGAUAUUGAAGAUGUUGGGAUUAGAGACUAAGUUUAAAAUUAUUCUGUGAAGUACUUCAUGUCCUGUGUAUGAAAGACACCCUAUGAAACAGAGAAGACUGCCUUAACCCCUCAAGGACUACAGACAUGCAUGACCUACCAAGCCUUUAAAGUUUUGAUUUAAAUGGACAUCAUUUAUUUCUUCCUAGUGGAGGCAAGGCACCCAAUCUCUUUUGUUGACUAGUGAGUUCCCAAAAUCUUGAUACAUAGUAGAUUUUCAAUAAAUAUAUACUGAAUGAAUAAAUGAUUGAUUUCCCCCACCUCAGUCUUUUUAACUUGCUUCAUAAUAUUCGUGUAGUUAAUACUUUCCCCAUUGGAAUCUCCUGUAGUCAAGUAGAAAGUAUUCAUAAGGGGGUAUUGAAAAGUGAGGAUUAUAUCGAUAUGGAACUGCAGAAGAUUUAGCAAUACUCUUAGGAAUAGUGUAAAAAAUGCCUAAAGAGAUAUACAUUCAUUUCAAUGUAAUUUACAGAAUUUACAAUAUUAUGUCAAAUAUAUUCAUAUAUAUAUAUAUAUGACUGAUUUAUCUGCUACUAAAUGAUGCACUUAGUUUUAAAGUAAUAGAACUUCAUAUUGCAACCAUCAGCAUAAUAAUUUAUUUAAACAAGAGUCUCCAAAGGAUGCUAAAAUCAAUGGGUGAAAACUUACUGUAGAACAUGAUAUUUAUACAAGUCUAAGUAUCACCCCACAAAUUACUUAUUAAUUGCAAAGAAGAAAAGAUCUUGGAGAAAUCUUAUGAACACCAGCUGAAUCACAUGAUCAAACUUAACAUCACCAAUAAUGACAAACUGCCAUAGUGAGCCUCGCGAUAUGUAUAUGGAAAAGACCAUGACAUCAUUUAUAUAGUUUUCCUAACAUUUUAAAUAAUGAGGAAAAAAUCAACUCCGAAUUGAGAGACAUUCUGAAAAACAUUUGGCCUGUGCUCCUCAAAAAUGUCAGUGUCAGGAGUUCCCAUUGCGGCUCAGUGGAAAAGAACCCUAUGAGGAUUAGGGUUCUAUCCCUGGCCUUGCUAAGUGGGUUAAGGAUCCUUUGUGGCUGUGGCUGUGGCAUAGGCCAGCAACUGCAGCUCUGAUUUGACCCCUAGCCUGCAGCUCUGACUUGACCCCUAGCCUGGGAAUGUUUAUAUGCUGCGGGCGCAGCCCUAAAAAAAAAAGGAUGAACCUACAAGAAUUAGGCCAGAAAGGGGUUUUUUAGUCGGAAUGGGGCAGGCUGUCCGCUUGGUGAGCCCAUACCCUCAUACACCCCCUGCCCCCACCUGACAUCCCCUUCCUUCUCUCCCUGCCACCCACCCCACGCUGGGGCUGUGACAAGGAGGGUGGAGAGGGAACAGGACAGGGCCUCCCCUUCCUGGCCCGUAGGAGAUGGGGAGGCCUCAGAGAAAUGCUUGGCAGUUCCUUCAAGGUCCCUUCUGUGAUUCCAGGCUCAUGAUCACUAAGGUUCUUCCACCCCCAGAGUCAGCGAUCCCCCCCUUUUUCAGUGUCAGGAGUUCUCAUUGUGGCUCAGUGGAAAAGAACCCAACUACUAUUCAUGAG